AUGUGUCAUCGGUCUUUUCAAGUGCAUAGUUUCGUGGAAAAGACCUACGUGACCCUGGCCACGAGCGCCUGCAGAACACGUGUGCGGUGGGCCUAGGAAAAAGACAACAGAAUGCGGCAACGGCCAGAGCGUUAGUCGAAAAGCAGAGUGCGAGUCGAGGAGCCGAGUGCGAGCUGAGCGGAGACAGAGGUUGCGAGUGGCGUUGCCGAGAGAGUGUGGAUUACGCUGUUUUCUGUGCGUUUGGCGUGAAUAGUUCAGACAUGCAAGAAAUUCCGUGUUGGAGAGCGAUGUUGCGAGUUCGAGUGCCUGGACCAUCUGAAGACCGGAACUGGUAUAGUUUAUGUCGUUGAUGAUAAUAAUUCCUCCACGACUCAGCAACAAGAGCUACUCUGGGUGAUGAGCUUAAUGGUGCUGUUGCGGCUAUUUUAAUUUUUCAACAAGGAUCCAAAUGGCGCCGUUGACGAAAUUCUUUCAUUAUAAACGUCAACGAUCAACAUCAGCCAUCAGGGAACGAAGAAGGUACGCUGUAACGUGUCUGAGUAAUUAUACCUCGAGGAGUACAUACAGUUAUGUAAUGAAGAUUCGUAUGUGAGUGUUUGUUUUCUUAUUUCUUUUCCCUUUGUUUCAUUUGAAUGGAUUUUUGUACUCAAAGAGCGAGGUAAGAUUACGUCAGAUACGUUUUUACAUAUGCUAAAAAAAUGGAAAAUGAUGAUGAUGAAUCAAUGACACGUAGAAAAUUAUAAUCUAUUGUAUUGCUGUUA